GCCCCGUGCGGGCAGGGCUUUACACAUGCAAGUCGAACGGGCGUAGCAAUACGUCAGUGGCAGACGGGUGAGUAACGCGUCCGGAACGUGCCUUUCGGUUCGGAAUAACUCAGGGAAACUUGAGCUAAUACCGGAUACGCCCUUCGGGGGAAAGAUUUAUUGCCGAAAGAUCGGCCCGCGUCCGAUUAGCUAGUUGGUGAGGUAAUGGCUCACCAAGGCGACGAUCGGUAGCUGGUCUGAGAGGAUGAUCAGCCACAUUGGGACUGAGACACGGCCCAAACUCCUACGGGAGGCAGCAGUGGGGAAUAUUGGACAAUGGGCGCAAGCCUGAUCCAGCCAUGCCGCGUGAGUGAUGAAGGCCCUAGGGUUGUAAAGCUCUUUCGCCAGGGACGAUAAUGACGGUACCUGGAUAAGAAGCCCCGGCUAACUUCGUGCCAGCAGCCGCGGUAAUACGAAGGGGGCUAGCGUUGUUCGGAAUCACUGGGCGUAAAGCGCACGUAGGCGGAUCUUUAAGUCAGGGGUGAUAUCCCGAGGCUCAACCUCGGAACUGCCUUUGAUACUGGAGGUCUCGAGUCCGGGAGAGCGUGAGUUGUAACUGCGAUUGUA
rnacentral:rRNA from 1 species